CUGGGACAGAUUAGGUGAACGUUUGUCGGUAACAAUCACUGCUCACUAUGUACUUGUUAAAGACACUGAAUCUGUGGGGUCACCAAAGGUUCUCAACACCUAAAUAAAGCAAUUCGAAAAACGAAUCCGGAAUAAUACGAUGUGUUGAUUUAUAUCAAUAAUAUAAAUCAAAACAUAAAGGUUAUUCCUGAAUAAUUUUCGAAUUAUUUUAUUAUUAAAGGCGUUAAGAACC
rnacentral:lncRNA from 1 species